UUUAAAAACCAGAAUAACUCCGGUCCUUUAUUAAUUUCCCCGUUCCACUAGACGAUUGAGUUUUCUAAGAAUUUAGAAAAAAUGGUUGAAAUAAUGCAACCCUAUAAAGUUGUUCUGGUAACUCACGGACGGUAUGCUGGGAAAAAAGCUGUGAUUGUUAAAGCAGUUGAAAAGCAAAGCGGUAGCGACAAGGAUUUUGGCUAUGCAAUUAUUGCUGGAAUCGCACGUCCUCCACUCAAAGUUUCAAAAGGCAUGUCAAAAAGCAAAAUUCAUAAGCGUUCUCGCAUAAAGCCAUUUAUUAAAACAAUAAAUUAUAAUCAUUUGCUUCCAACCAGGUAUAAGUUUGAAGUUUCUCAAGUAAAAGAUGUUAUUAAGGAAAAAAAUCCCAAAGAUCCAGCUAAUUUGAAAAAAAUACGCAAGGAACUUAGAAAAAUUUUUGAGACUAAAUAUAAAACGGGACAGUAUCGCUGGUUUUUUGAGAAACUUCGGUUUUAAUGGUGCUUUUUAUGAACA